GAUGAACGCUGGCGGCGUGCCUAAUACAUGCAAGUCGAGCGAACAGACGAGGAGCUUGCUCCUCUGAUGUUAGCGGCGGACGGGUGAGUAACACGUGGAUAACCUACCUAUAAGACUGGGAUAACUUCGGGAAACCGUAGCUAAUACCGGAUAAUAUAUUGAACCGCAUGGUUCAAUAGUGAAAGACGGUUUUGCUGUCACUUAUAGAUGGAUCCGCGCCGCAUUAGCUAGUUGGUAAGGUAACGGCUUACCAAGGCAACGAUGCAUAGCCGACCUGAGAGGGGGAUCGGCCACACUGGAACUGAGACACGGUCCAGACUCCUACGGGAGGCAGCAGUAGGGAAUCUUCCGCAAUGGGCGAAAGCCUGACGGAGCAACGCCGCGUGAGUGAUGAAGGUCUUCGGAUCGUAAAACUCUGUUAUGAGGGAAGAACAAAUGUGUAAGUAACUAUGCACGUCUUGACGGUACCUAAUCAGAAAGCCACGGCUAACUACGUG
rnacentral:rRNA from 1 species